rnacentral:tRNA from 1 species
UUGUAGUCCAGUUGGUUAGGAUACUCGGCUCUAACCCGAGCAACCCGGGUUCAAGUCCUGACAA